CCCAGGGAACUGCUGCACCCGUGACCAGCGGGACCCCUGACUCCUGAGCAUGGGGCCCUCCGCGCUCAUUAGGCACAUUUUCACACGCGCUGCCCCCACCAGGUUAAUUCCCGAGUUAAUUCGUGUAACAUACCUGUUGAUGGUGGCUCUGUCUCCUGCCCUCGCCCUCCAGUUCUCACGUUCCUGAAGCAAUUCCUAACCUCCACCGGCCCCCGCUGUCAUUGGCCACUCCGGAGGUAGCCCCCGGCCACGUGGGAACUUGGAUUCAGGGCCCCUAGAUCUAGGGGUCUGCUGUCACUGUGGCGGCUCAUUUAACUUCUUUCCAUCUGCUGGCGCCAUCUCCAAGUGGAGGCUAACAGCACUUUCUCUAAGGACCUCAAAGGGUUGUUGUCAGGACGCAAGGGAGGUCAAGGAUUUGGAAACGCUCUGGUGGAAAACACGGCUCCGAAUGUGCGAGUGUUCACGCCAACCCUCACUUAUCCGGCAUCCGCAAGCGAUGAGAACCGUGAAGGAGGGGAGAGGCAUUUGCACACAAAAGAGAGAACUCACAGCCAGCUCCUGCGUCUGUUGGACCUGCACGGAUCCUGCUGCACGAUGGGCCAGGUGCUAGCGAGUAUUAACGAAUUCGGACGUGACACCACGUGGCCCCGACGUGAAGAGAGUCGUGGUGUAAAAGGCAGGUAACACACAGUUACGUGUGUGAUGGGAUUCCUCGUGGUGCAGACCCUCAGCCUUCUCGAGACCCGAGUCCCGCAGGUUGGGUCAUCUGUUUCCCCCAAUCACAUGACUUCAGAGCUAACAGAUGAGAAAUGGGCAGGGCUCUUUCUGGGGCAAGGCAGGGGCUGACUUGGAGGGAAGGGGUUCUCCCGACUUCCUGCAGGCUUCAUGGAAAUGAGAAUGUUAGCAGGACCCGUGUAGAACUCCCAGCUUCACUGCAACCCCAGUGAAAUGAAAUCUGUGUCUCUCUUGCAACUCGGAGAUCCAUCUACGAGCUGGCAGAUAAUUACAGCUGUCCUUGGAGCCGAUCCAGCCUUCCUCCGCUCCCAGUUCAGGAAUCGGUGAUCAUGGAACAGAAUUAGUUUUU